rfam:Saccharomyces mikatae SCR1 gene for signal recognition particle RNA component
AGGCUGUAAUGGCUUUCUGGUGGAAUGGGAUACGUUGAGAAUUUUGGCCGAGGAACAAAUCCUUCCUCACGGCCGGACACGGAUUGCACGCCCUUUGGGCAAGGAGUAGAAUUUCUAUUUCGCGCCGUGCCCUGUUGUGGCAACCGUCUUUCCCCCGUCGUUGGUUUGUCCUGGGCAGAGCUGUCUGCCCGGAGGCGGGGGAGUCCUAUCUAAAGUGUCCCGGCUUAAAUAAAUCGAUCUUUGCGGGCAGCCCAUUGGCAGGAGGCGUGAGGAAUCCGUCUCUCUGUCUGGUGCGGCAAUGUAGUUCUGGGUCCCUUAGGGGCUCCACCUUCACCGCUGUUAGGGGAGUUUUAUCCAGCAUCAGCAAAGGUGACCCGUGAUGGAGGCGGCCGGGAUAGCACAUAUUAGUGGGAUAAUCGUGCAAAUUUAUCGCUUCGGUGGUUUAAAUUGGCGGUACCAUCAGGAUUUACUCUCACAUUGUGGUCAUACCUUCUGGUGUGAGUGUGUAUUCCAAACCAUUUUUUU